rnacentral:rRNA from 1 species
GAUGAACGCUGGCGGCGUGCCUAAUACAUGCAAGUCGAGCGAACAGACGAGGAGCUUGCUCCUCUGAUGUUAGCGGCGGACGGGUGAGUAACACGUGGAUAACCUACCUAUAAGACUGGGAUAACUUCGGGAAACCGGAGCUAAUACCGGAUAACAUGUUGAACCGCAUGGUUCAACAGUGAAAGACGGUCUUGCUGUCACUUAUAGAUGGAUCCGCGCCGCAUUAGCUAGUUGGUAAGGUAACGGCUUACCAAGGCAACGAUGCGUAGCCGACCUGAGAGGGUGAUCGGCCACACUGGAACUGAGACACGGUCCAGACUCCUACGGGAGGCAGCAGUAGGGAAUCUUCCGCAAUGGGCGAGAGCCUGACGGAGCAACGCCGCGUGAGUGAAGACGGUCUUCGGAUCGUAAAACUCUGUUAUUAGGGAAGAACAAAUGUGUAAGUAACUAUGCACGUCUUGACGGUACCUAAUCAGAAAGCCACGGCUAACUACGUG